UACGUAGGUGGCGAGCGUUGUCCGGAUUUACUGGGCGUAAAGAGCGCGCAGGCGGUCGUUCAAGUCGCGUGUGAAAGCCCCCGGCUCAACUGGGGAGGGUCACGCGAUACUGAUCGACUCGAAGGCAGGAGAGGGUAGUGGAAUUCCCGGUGUAGUGGUGAAAUGCGUAGAUAUCUGGAGGAACACCGGUGGCGAAGGCGGCAUCCUGGACCAAUACUGACGCUGAGGAGCGAAAGCCAGGGGAGCAAACGGG
rnacentral:rRNA from 1 species